rnacentral:rRNA from 1 species
GGCCAGCAGCCGCGGUAAGACAGAGGGUGCAAACGUUGUUCGGAAUUACUGGGCGUAAAGCGCGUGUAGGCGGUUUGGCAAGUCGGGUGUGAAAGCCCUUGGCUCAACUGAGGAAGUGCACUCGAAACUGCCAAACUUGAGUUCUGGAGAGGAUGGUGGAAUUCUCGGUGUAGAGGUGAAAUUCGUAGAUAUCGAGAGGAACACCGGUGGCGAAGGCGGCCAUCUGGACAGAUACUGACGCUGAGACGCGAAAGCGUGGGUAGCAAACAGGAUUAGAUACCCUGGUAGUCCACGCCGUAAACGAUGGGUGCUAGGUGUCGCGGGCAUUGACUCCUGCGGUGCCGAAGCAAACGCAUUAAGCACCCCGCCUGGGGAGUACGGUCGCAAGACUAAAACUCAAAGGAAUUGACGGGGGCCCGCACA